AAGACUAUACUUUCAGGGAUCAUUUCUAUAGUUUGUUAUUAAAAAUAAUUCUUUUAGAGGGACGAACAGAGGGAGAGAGGGAGAAAGAAUCUCAAGUCAGUUCCAUGCCCAGCAUGGAGCCUGACAUGGGGUUAGAUCUCAACGACUCUGA
rnacentral:snoRNA from 1 species